CUAAUACUCCCUCCGUCCCAUAUUAAGUGCGCAAUUUUGUCUAGAUCCGCAUGUAUCUAGAGGCGUUUUAGUGUGUAGGUACAUCGCAACUAGACAAAGUUGCGACACUUAAUAUGGGACGAAGGGAGUAAUAA
rfam:Brachypodium distachyon strain Bd21 chromosome 5, whole genome shotgun sequence.